GGGGAAUAUUGCACAAUGGGGGAAACCCUGAUGCAGCAACGCCGCGUGAAGGAUGACGGUUUUCGGAUUGUAAACUUCUUUUCUUAGUGACGAAGACAGUGACGGUAGCUAAGGAAUAAGCAUCGGCUAACUACGUGCCAGCAGCCGCGGUAAUACGUAGGAUGCAAGCGUUAUCCGGAUUUACUGGGUGUAAAGGGAGCGCAGGCGGGACUGCAAGUUGGAUGUGAAAUACCGUGGCUUAACCACGGAACUGCAUCCAAAACUGUAGUUCUUGAGUGAAGUAGAGGCAAGCGGAAUUCCGAGUGUAGCGGUGAAAUGCGUAGAUAUUCGGAGGAACACCAGUGGCGAAGGCGGCUUGCUGGGCUUUAACUGACGCUGAGGCUCGAAAGUGUGGGGAGCAAACAGGAUUAGAUACCCUGGUAGUCCACACUGUAAACGAUGAUAGCUAGGUGUGGGGGGUCUGACCCCUUCCGUGCCGGAGUUAACGCAAUAAGCUAUCCACCUGGGGAGUACGACCGCAAGGUUGAAACUCAAAGGAAUUGACGGGGGCCCGCACAAGCAGUGGAUUAUGUGGUUUAAUUCGAAGCAACGCGAAGAACCUUACCAGGUCUUGACAUCCGACUAACGAGAUAGAGAUAUGUCAGGUGCCCUUCGGGGAAAGUCGAGACAGGUGGUGCAUGGUUGUCGUCAGCUCGUGUCGUGAGAUGUUGGGUUAAGUCCCGCAACGAGCGCAACCCCUAUCUUUAGUAGCCAGCAUUUCAGGUGGGCACUCUAGAGAGACUGCCAGGGAUAACCUGGAGGAAGGUGGGGACGACGUCAAAUCAUCAUGCCCCUUAUGACCAGGGCUACACACGUGCUACAAUGGCGUAAACAGAGGGAAGCAGCCUCGUGAGAGUGAGCAAAUCCCAAAAAUAACGUCUCAGUUCGGAUUGUAGUCUGCAACUCGACUACAUGAAGCUGGAAUCGCUAGUAAUCGCGAAUCAGAAUGUCGCGGUGAAUACGUCCCCG
rnacentral:rRNA from 1 species